CCCCCCCGCCCCCCCCAUUUGCUUUAGAAAAUCUAUUGCAGCAUUUUGGAAUAAAAACUUGUUCCCAAAAAUGAAUUUGUUCACUUAUUGAUGUAUAAACAAAAUGUUAUUUAUUUAUUCAACAACCAUUUAUUAAAUACCUAGUAAAGAAUAGGCACUAUGUCAGGCACAGGGAUAACAAUGAAAAUGAAGUGUGGUUCCUGCUCUCAAGAUGCUGAUAAUCUAGGAGACUGACAAGUAAGCAGGUGAUUACAUACACAGGAACAAAGGCUCUGAUACAAGGAUACACAUGGGACUCCAUGAUGGCAGUAUGGCUUUCACCAGUUCCUCUUGGAUUUAUGUCUUCUUCUUUGGCUCCAGAAUGAAGGAAUUGGUCCUCUUUUUGUCUUUAACUGGGUAGUUUAAACCAUGAAAUUUAAAAAAAUUUCUAGAUAUGAAAGAAAAACACCUGGAAUUACAGAAGACACUAGAAAUAGUAUUUCUUACAGAGCAAGGGCUUCCUAGCAGCAUAGUCACUUCUAGGAUUUUUGACCUGAAAAGUUCCUUGGCAUAUUUGUUCUUUGUUAUCCACUUUUUUCCUGUUGUUUUUUUCUGUUUCUCUUCUCCACUUUAUCAUCUAGAGACCUGGGUAGUUCCCAAAGCAAGAAUGCUUUAUGGAUUCUAAGGGUGAUUCAUAGAAUUCUGAAUCGUAAUCCUUUGACAACAGUUGAAGAUUCUUACCUUUUUAAAUUGCCAGCACUAAAAUAUUUAGACAUGGGAAGAACACAAGUGUCACAACAGUUGAAAGCAUCCUGAUGAUGACCCUUGAAUUGGAGAAAGUGAUCUUACCCAGCCGCAUGGCCUGCUGCCUCUGCCAAUUUAAAAAUACAGUUGAAGUUGUCUAUAAGACAGUCAAGCUGUGUUGCGAUGGUGAAUGCCUGACAAAUGCCACACCUUGUGGUGAGCCUCAAUUGCCUGAUAAUAAAUUUUCUAUUUUUAAUGUAA